AGAGUUUGAUCCUGGCUCAGGAUGAACGCUGGCGGCGUGCUUAACACAUGCAAGUCGAACGGAGUUAAUUGAAGCUUGCUUUAAUUAACUUAGUGGCGGACGGGUGAGUAACGCGUGGGUAACCUGCCGUAUGCUGGGGGACAACAGUUGGAAACGACUGCUAAUACCGCAUAAGCGCACGUUUUCGCAUGAGAAUGUGUGAAAAACUCCGGUGGCAUACGAUGGACCCGCGUCUGAUUAGGCAGUUGGUGAGGUAACGGUCCACCAAACCUACGAUCAGUAGCCGGCCUGAGAGGGUGAACGGCCACAUUGGGACUGAGACACGGCCCAAACUCCUACGGGAGGCAGCAGUGGGGAAUAUUGCACAAUGGGGGAAACCCUGAUGCAGCGACGCCGCGUGAGUGAAGAAGUAUUUCGGUAUGUAAAGCUCUAUCAGCAGGAAAGAAAAUGACGGUACCUGACUAAGAAGCCCCGGCUAACUACGUGCCAGCAGCCGCGGUAAUACGUAGGGGGCAAGCGUUAUCCGGAUUUACUGGGUGUAAAGGGAGCGUAGACGGCUUUGCAAGUCUGAAGUGAAAGCCCGGGGCUCAACCCCGGAACUGCUUUGGAAACUGUAGAGCUAGAGUGCAGGAGAGGUAAGUGGAAUUCCUAGUGUAGCGGUGAAAUGCGUAGAUAUUAGGAGGAACACCAGUGGCGAAGGCGGCUUACUGGACUGUAACUGACGUUGAGGCUCGAAGGCGUGGGGAGCAAACAGGAUUAGAUACCCUGGUAGUCCACGCGCUAAAAGAGGAUUACUAGAUGUUGGAUUUUCAGAGUCACAGCUAACGCAAUAAGUACUCCGCCUGAGGAGUAUGCACGCAAGUGUGAAACUUAAAGGAAAUUGACGGGGCCCCGCACAAGCGGUGGAGUAUGUGGUUUAAUUCGACGCAACGCGAAGAACCUUACCAGGCCUUGACAUCCCU
rnacentral:rRNA from 1 species